AUGCCCAGAACACGUCCGCCGCCAAAUACCCACGCCGUCACCUCCGGUGACUACAAAUCGCAAAACACGAUCAGCCCCUUGUCGUUCGGAGUAUUCAACCCGCAGUCCGAACAGAUUUGUAAAGAAAAAAAACACGACCACACAAUUAGCACGAGCUCGCCUCCUCCCUCUCUCGCCCACGAAGCCCUCGCCGCCGCCACCACCCACGCCGGCCGCUUCCGGCGAGCUCCGCCGCCGCGCAGCACGCCAUCGAGUUCCCCAUGGUCCACGCAACCCUCCCCUCUCUCCAUAUUCUCCGCUCCCGGCCUCUGCCGCCCGCUCGCAACCCCACCCCCCGCGGCUAGGGUUUCGGGCAGGGCUUCGCCGGCGCGUCUCCGGCGGCCCCAGCUUGUGAAAUCAUCAUGUGUUCUAUCUUGUGCGCCUCUUGUGGUCUUACCAAUGGAGUUGGCUUUAGCUCUUGAAAAGAUGGUGAAUGAGAAGCUGCCCAACCCGCCCACUAUAAGUUUCUCCUUCAUGCCUAUUUACAAUAAAAUUACUUUAAAGUUUAAAGCCGUGAAGAAGAUAACCAAAUGGAAGAGUGAUGGGCCAACAUAUGGAAGUGCAGAUCGAAAAACCCGGGUUUGCAGGAUGCAACAAUUGGUGUUGCGAGCAAUAGCCAAAACCAUCACUCACAAGAAAUAUGAGAUCCUCAAGCAAGGCUGCUUGGAUGCUGAGAAAUUAAAAGAGUUUAAACUUGUGCAGAAGAGACAAAUCAGUCUUAAUGUGGCCAAGUUCAAAUUUGCUCUCCCGACACCUACUUCUGUGUUGGGCCUUCCAAUUGGCCAACAUAUAAGCUGCAGGUUUGAGCCACUGAGGAGCGUGUCCGCGUCACGAGUGUCGCCAUUCAUGGGAAGCACCAAGAUCUAA
rnacentral:rRNA from 1 species